ensembl:lncRNA SERPINB9P1 serpin family B member 9 pseudogene 1
AGACUGGAAAAGAAUGGCCCAGAUCCUCUGGACUCCUCAGAUGAGCGGAUUCAGAGAGAAGCUUUUGAGAGCGUGCUGGCGGAGACAUUUUUCACAAAAGAGCCCUUGCGGUGCUGGUGUCCGUGGCGUGCCUGGACCCUCCACCAUGAGCGCCCUCUCUGAAGCAAAUGGCUCCAGCCAUCAUCUUUUAAAGGAGCCAUACGAAGAAAACCCUUCAUGCAAUGUGCUUUUGUCUGUCCCAAGUGUCUCCUCUGCUCUGGCCAUGCUCUUCCUGGGAGUGGAAGGAAAUGUGGCUGCCCAAAUGGCCCAAGCAAGGAGACCUCCACUGCAUAAGGAGGAGGAAUUGUUUGUAGCCAUUAGAGUUGUUUGCCAGAAAUUUCUGGAUUUCCUCCCUUCCAGCACAUGGAAGGCCCACCAACGCUGGCCGGCCUCCAAGCACCCGGGCCUCUGCUCAUGUACAGCUCCUGAACUGCCCUGCCUCUGAGUUACUGUGGAAAAUGAGCUUAUAUAUGAAGAAGUCAGCGAGUGGACAAAGCCAGGCGCAAUGGAUAGCAAAGAUGUGGAAGUCUCCUCGAUUCAAGUUACAAGAAAACCGCAGCAUGGAGUCUGCUCUCAGCUGUUGGGGAAUUACCGAUGCCUUUGACUAAGUCAAGACUGACUUUUCCAGAAUAUCACCCAAGAGAUAGAGCCGUCCCUGUCCAAGUUUGUGCGCUAGCCCUUCAUGGAGGUCAGAGAGGAAGAAACAAAGGCAGCUGUGGCCUCGGCGGUCACAGUGUCAGAACGCACAAGCCCCAUAAAGAGGUUUCACGCAGGCCACCCAUCCCUUUUCAUUCUCCAGCAGAACAGGACAGAGAGCGUUCUGUUCUGCGGAAGGUCUUCCACUCUACAAGGCAAUCCCUCCAGCUGCUUUGCUGUAUUGUGCUGUCUCCUGUCACACUAUGAAUGCAGUGACCUCAGCCAGCAACAGGGAGAACCCCCCUGCCUCCCGAACAAAGGACCUCACGUGAAAUCCUGAGCUCAGAGCUUACAGAUAUGUGUGCGCUUUCACUUUACAUCGGCCGUGACUUCCAAACAACUUCAGGAAACUUUAGGAUCUCUGAGGUAUACUGGAGAUGACAGCAGCGUAGAAUGUUCAUUUGGAUUUAGAACAGAAAUGCUUAUUUUAUAUUUGGCUGCUCCCAAACUGUCCCCAGACUUCCUCUCCAGUGGUUACCCUCCACUGCCCUGGAUGUCCCACGUUUACACUCCACACUCACACCUCCACCUUAACAAAGUCCUCCACUGGGUCAAACCAUACAUCGCUUCGUCUCUGUAGUGAUGACUUCCUGUCCUCUGCUCUGUGGAUAAAGACCCCAGAUAAAGAUGCCUGUGUUGCUCAACUCUUGUAAAUACUCUUGAGACAUUUUGAAAGCAGAAGGAAAGGAGACAGACGGGGAAAAUAAAAGGGAUGGUCUGCUUGUGCGGAAACGUUUUGAGAAUGCCCUUCCCUAAGAGAGAACAGUAAAAGUGAGCAAUACUUCCUGAGCUGUGGGUUCAUAUGGCUGGACUGUGCUGUUUCUCACGGGAGAAGUUCUCGUCUCCCCUGCGUGUACAUCCCUGUUUGCCA